ensembl:snRNA
ACCAUCCUUUUCUUGGGGUUGGGCUACUGUCCGAUGAGCGUUUAGCGAGGGCAGUACUGCUAACACCUAAACAAAAAAGAAAAAGAAAGAGAUGAUGUUUUGUAUGU